rnacentral:sRNA from 1 species
UAUUAUUAUUUAUUAUUUUUGUAGUUAUCGGGCUUUGAGAUCCUGAAAAAAAUUACUUUACAAUCAUACCAGCUUUAAUUCAAUGAGUAAUUAUUUAAAAAUAUUAUUUUUCUGUUCAUUCUAAAUUACACGGUUGCUUUACUCAUUAUUACUUGUACAUAAAUAUUUUAUGGAUUACUGAUUAUUUUGUUCCAGUAUCUUGAACUUACAUGCCGGAAAUUUUUAAAAAUCCUCAAAUGAACUGCCACUUUGGCUAGCGAUAAUAUAAUAUUAAAUAUUUUUGAAAAGCGAAUGAGUACAUAUCGGUUUGCUAUAUGUACCAUAUGCACACAUGGCGAUUGCGGAAAAAGGCAAAUAUGAUUGGUUAUUCGGGCGGGAGUGGAACGCUAACACGUGUACAAUAUACCCUUUCACGGGUAACCGGAUUGGAAUGAGGUGAGCCAUGAAUAGUGUGACUUGCGCCGCCUUCUGCCUUCUGCCUUUUGGUUAUUAACCCACAUUGCCGGUGGGUGGAAAACAAUGCCAGGCCAAGUUGCGGGCGUCAAUCGUUGAGGCAUUUCACCGCUCAAGCCAACAAGCCCCCCGGUUUUGCCGUGGCUUUUUUCUGUUCCCAGCCAUUUGCAUUCGCAACUAGAUAAACAGCUAACGGCGACUAGAAAAUAAUAACAUUAGGCGUUACCAUUGACAGUUUGUGGCGUCCGCGGGGGCGGUCAGGGCGGUUGGGGGGCGUGGCGCACUAAUUUGCAUGCGGCUAAGUGAAAAAAGCUUGGGAAAAGUUUUUUGUCAGCUGUUGGUAAUGGCUUUGGCUGUAGCCAUUACAAUAGCUUAAGUGUGAUUGAUUCGAGACUUUAGCAAACUAUUGAACAGGUUUCAAAAUUUCACUGUAAUAUUUAAUAUAUUUAUGUGAAAUCAAGGUAAUGGUAUAUUUUGGAACAUAGGGUAGCUGGUUCCACCACAGUGGCCACCGUGGCAACAACAACAAUCGCACCAACCAACUGUGCCGCAUGGCGCCUCACUUUGCAAUUCUAAUCGGCCUGUCGAAAUCUUUGAGC